rnacentral:lncRNA from 1 species
GGAGCCUCGAACCCCGAUCGCCUAAAAAUUUUCUGGACCAUUAAUUACGACCUAAGGAACCAUAGUAACCACCCUGCCAUGAUCGUUCCCCAUUUUUUGCGUUUUUCGGCCAAACAACUAGAAUUUCGCGCGAUUCCCAUAUUUUUGUGUGCGCCCACGCCUUCCGAGUGGGCCGGGCCGCCGGACACGGAUCGCCUAAAAAAUUUUCCGGACCAUUAAUUACGACCUAAGGAACCAUAGUAACCACCCUGCCAUGAUCGUUCCCCAUUUUUUGCAUUUUUUGGCCAAAAAACUAGAAUUCGCCCGAUUCCCAUAUUUUUGUGUGCUAUCGCCCACGCCUUCCGAGUGGGUCGGGCACCCCGGAGCCGGAUCGCCUAAAAUUUUUCCAGACUAUCAAAUACGACCUAAGGAACCAUAGUCACCGCCCCACCAUGAUCGUUCCAAAUGCUUUGCAUUUUUCGGCGAAAAAUUAGAACUCCGCGCGAUUUGCAUAUUUUAGUGUGCUAUAUCUUACGCCUUCCGAGUGGUCCCGGG